GUAUAAUCCCUCGAAAAUAAAAGCACGUCCAGUUUUCUUGUGUCUGUAGUCAGUGGUGGUUAUAAGCAUCCAAAUUUCAUGUAUUUUCCGUAUUAACAUCAAUUAACAUUAUCCCGAAAGGUUGUUCGGUCUUUGUCUUAGAAAUUGUUAUGAACAGGAGGAGCGUGUUUGUACAAAAAGAAUAUUAGACAAGAGGUGCUUUUUGGAUUGCAGUCUGUCUUUUAAAAAUUGCAAGAAGAUAUAAUAAAACUGUAUGACUGGUAAUAAAACAGUUGUGAUUGGAAUACCAGUUUUGUACUCAUACUUCAAGAAGAGCUACAAUUACAUGUGUUACAAUAGAAAUUGUCUAAAUACAUAAUUGUAAUUAAUAUAAAAAAUUUAAUUGAAAUUAUUUGAAAUACAAAUUUUUCUUUAAAA